ACGCACCUUACGCCUGUGUCUUCGGCGCAUGCGCGUGAUGGUCUCCGCCCAGAGGCACGCGCCGUAGGUUCUGUGGGGUGCGCGCACUAGACUCUUCCUUGGAGCAGAAAUGCUUUGCCGGCUGGGCGCCUGGAGCGUUCGGCAGAUUUCUGCCGCGCAGCUCCGAGCCUCAGGCCCGCCGCUACUGCCGGCGCCAACGAUUGGUGCCCAGCGUCCCGCUCUCCCAGUGUGGUCAGUGGCGUCGGUGUCUGCAGUUGGCGCGAGCGGCUGGUAUGAGGCGCUGGCCGCGUCGGCGCCCGUCCGCGCCGCGGAGGAAGCGCUGCUCGCCGCGCACGCUGCCACGGGCCUUCCGUGGUGGGGCAGCAUCUUGCUCACCACCGUGGCCUUGCGGGGCGCCGUCACGCUACCCCUGGCCGCCUAUCAGCACUACGUUCUGGCCAAGGUGGAAAAUUUGCAACCAGAAAUAAAAAGCAUCGCCAGCCGUCUUAACCAAGAAGUUGCAUUGCGUGCAAAUCAGUUUGGGUGGUCCAAAAGAGUUGCCAGGCUCACUUAUCUAAGGAAUAUGAAGAGGCUUGUUUCAGAACUGUAUGUUCGGGAUAAUUGCCACCCGUUCAAAGCCACUGUCUUGGUUUGGGUUCAGCUUCCCAUGUGGAUCUUCAUGUCUGUUGCUCUGCGGAAUUUUAGCACAGGGACAGCACAUUCAGAAGCAGGUCUUUCUGUUCAGGAGCAGUUUACUACUGGAGGGGUCCUUUGGUUUCCUGACCUCACUGCACUGGAUUCCACUUGGAUUUUGCCUGUGUCUGUUGGUGUCAUCAAUUUAUUAAUAGUGGAGAUUUUUGCUCUACAGAAAGCUGGAAUGUCUCGUUUUCAGAUAUACAUCACCCACUUUGUCCGCACACUGUCAGUUUUGAUGAUUCCAAUUGCUGCAACCGUCCCUUCAGUGAUCACUUGCUCUCUACUGGUUGUGCUCCAGCUUCAUGGGCCUCUCCCAGAACUUGCUGUUGCGUUCUCCUGGAUUUCGCCGGCUCUGCCGAAUACCGUUGACCAAGUCAGAUUCAGACACUCCGUAUAAAGACCUGUUUGCUGCCUUUUACACCAAGUUCCUUUUAAGAAAAUGAUAUAUUUUUCAGUAAUUUUGAAACCAUGAAAUCCCGGCACUCGCAGUAUAAGGAUAUUGAUCAACACCUCUGAAGGUAUUGUGUCAAAUCCUAGUAGAAGUCUUACCCUAGUGAAACAUAACAUUGAAUUUGGGUAAAAAACAGUUUUGUUUUUUUUUUUUUAAGAUUUAUUUAUUUAUUUGAAAAAGUUACACACAUAGAAGGAGAGGCAGAAAGAGAGGACUUCUAUCCGCUGGUUCACUCCCCAGUUGGCCGCAGCAGCUGGAGAUGUGCCAAUCUGAAGCCAGGAGAGGAGCCCAGCACUUCUGUGUCUCCCACACGGGUGCAGGGGCCCAAGGACUUGGGCCAUCUUCUAGUGCUUUCCCAGGGCAUAGCAGAGAGCUGGAUCAGAAGUGGAGCAGCCGGGCCUCGAACCAGCACCCAUAUGGAUGCCUGCACUGCAGGCAGUGGCUUUACCUGCUACACCACAGCACUAUCCCCAAAACAAGAGAUCUUGAAGUAUGAUCAUCCAAGCAUACAAGUACCUAAUGUGUAGAUAAUGUUGCCUUUCAGCUUUGCUGUAAAACAAUUUAAAAACUAUACAUCCCUUUGUAAUUUGAGAAGUCUGGAAUACAGAGUAUGAUAUUUUGCAUUGUUAAAUCAUAGUCAAAAAUUUUGAGCAUUAAAUUUGUUGGUCAAAGGAAGAAAACUAGAAGAAUUGCCACCUAUUAUAGAGGUGAUUUUAAACUUGUUUAGAGGGAGAUGUUUAGCCUAGUAGCUAAAACACCCAUUAAAAUGCAUGUAGCCUGCACUGGAUUACCUGGGUUCAAUUCCAGGCUCAGGCUCCUAACUCUAGCUUCCUGCUGAUACAGAUUCUGGGAGGCAGCAAAAUGGCUGAAGUAAUUGGAUUCCUGCCACACAUGUGGGAGACCUGCCUUGUGCUUCCAUCCUAGCACACAACCCCUGCUGUUCCCAGCCCCAGCCAUUCAUGGGAUUUAGGGAGUGAACCAGUGGAUGGGAGCUCAAGCUCUCUCACUUGCUCGCUCGCUCUCUGGCUCUCUCUGCCUCUCAAGUAAAAAUAAAUUUUUAGUUAAUACAAAAAUAAACUAGUUUACUUGGAAACGUUAAAUGAUGAGAUUAUCAUAGAGGCUUAAGUUAGGAAAAAUGCAUGGUACAAAUUAUGAAACCAGUUUGUUUAAUUCACAAAAUGAUUAGAUUAAAUUAGCUGAGAUAUUUGGGGACUGGCCAGACAUUUAAAAAGGUGUUUUUUGUUUUUUUUUUUUUUUUGACAGGCAGAGUGGACAGUGAGAGAGAGAGACAGAGAGAAAGGUCUUCCUUUGCCAUUGCUUCACCCUCCAACCCUCCAAUGGCCGCCACGGCUGGCGCGCUGCGGCCAGUGCACUGUGCGCUGACCCGAAGGCAGGAGCCAGGUGCUUCUCCUGGUCUCCCAUGGGGUGCAGGGCCCAAGCACUUGGGCCAUCCUCCACUGCCCUCCCGGGCCACAGCAGAGAGCUGGCCUGGAAGAGGGGCAACCAGGACAGAAUUCGUCGCCCCGACUGGGACUAGAACCCGGUGUGCUGGCGCUGCUAGGUGGAGGAUUAGCCUAUUGAGCCGCGGCGCCGGCCUGAAAAGGUUUUAAGUGUAAAUUUUCACUGAGUUAAAACAGGGACCUGAUUCUGAGAAACCCUAUUUAUAUAUAUAAAAUAUAUAUUUAUGUAUUAUAUUUAUAUAAUAUGUAUUUAUAUAUUUAUAAAUAUAUAUAAAUAUACUGUAUUAUAUAUUAUAUAAAUAUAUAAUUUUUAUGUAAUAAUUCAUCUCACUGUUUUACCAUAAAGUAAAAAGUAAAAUCAGUCAUUACUCUGAGUGAUGUUUGCUAAAUCUUAGUUGCCCUGUUUCAUGAAGCUGUGCAGGCUUUACUAUAAAGUAAUGCACAGCAUGUGGAGGUAAGAAUUGUGGCUGGCAUGCUCCUGCAGCUUGCUGAGAAAGGUAACUGGUGGUAACUGAGAACAGGUUCUCUCCCGGAAUUCCCAGUCCUGGUUUAUGACUGCCCUGUUCAGGCAACAGUGCUUCCCAGUCACAGUCAAGGACCUGAGGCGUGUGUUCACGUGGUCCACAGUAUUUGGUGGUUUCAUCACUGUGCAUCUGCCUCUUUUGUAAAAUGUAUUCAGAACCCCCAAAUCAGUGCUUGCUGUGCUUUUAUAUUUUUUGUUCUAAAGAUUUAUUUAUUUGAAACAGUUACAGACUGGGAGAGACAGAGAAAUGUCUUUAAUCUGCUCAUUCACUCCCCAAACGGCCACAAUGCCCAGAGCUGGGCAAGGCUGUACCCAAGAGCCAGGAGCUUCUUUGGGUCUCCCACGUGGGUGGCAGCGGCCAUGUUCCACUGCUUUCCCAGGCUGUUAGCAGGGAGGUGGAUCAGAAGUGGAGCAGCCAGGACAUGAACUUCCAUUUCUAUACAUCUCUUUAGACCACUCUGGAAUGAUAGGAUUAUCUUUUGUGUUCCUUGAGAUGACUAGUUGCAGGGAGGGUGGGAGUUUUCAUCAACCAGAAAUGCAUGCCCCACCCUCAGCCUCUGGGCAGAGGGAAGGGCCCAUGGUUUGAUCAGCCACGCCUACCUCAUGAAGUUUCUAUAGCAAACUGAAAGGUCUGCUCCAGGGUAUGUUCCAGGAGGGUGGCUUACCUGGAGAGGGCAGAUGCUCCACCCCUCUUGCCCUGCACCUUGCCACAUGCUCCUUUUCCCUGCUGGGGGGAAAAUUGCCACAUAUUUUGAUGAGCAGAGGUGAUCAGUAUUGAGAGUUAAAAGUAAGAGCAUUGGAGGCUGGUGGGUAAAGCCACCACCUGCAGUGCCUGCAUCCCAUGUGAGCACCAGUUCAAGUCCUGGCUUCUCCACUGCUGGUCCCACUCUCUGCUUACAGCCUGGGAAAGCAGUAGAAGAUGGCCCAAGUUUUGGGUCCCUGAACCCGCAUGGGAGAAUUGGAAGAAGCUCCUGGCUCCUGGCUUAAGAUGGGCCCAGCUCCAUUAGUAAUGGCCAUUUAAGGAGUAAACCAGUGGAUGGCCGGGUUUUUUUUUUUCUCUCUGCCUCUCUCUAACUCUGCCUUUCAAAUAAAUAAAUCUUU